UUUCCGAAGGUCAAAUGAUGUAGCAUGGCCGGCCAAGCAAUUUAAGUACGAGUACGUAGUUUAGUACAUGUUGCAAUGAUAUGAGUUCUAUAAUAGUGGAGUACUCCGUUUCUGCAUGUUACCCAGGUACUUAAAUACUAACUGACCAGUAGCUCCUUCCAUUCAAUCUUGUAGUAUAUCACUUGAAAGUGACAACAGCUGUUAUCUAAUUGUUUUCAAACGUUUGCUCUAUUUCCUGAAGCAACUGAAC
rnacentral:lncRNA from 1 species